UGGGGGAUAUUGCACAAUGGGCGAAAGCCUGAUGCAGCGACGCCGCGUGGGGGAUGAAGGCCUUCGGGUUGUAAACUUCUUUUGCUCUGAACAAGGCAUGCCUUUGGGGUGUGUUGAGUGUAGGGGUUGAUUAGCGCCGGCUAACUACGUGCCAGCAGCCGCGGUAAUACGUAGGGCGCGAGCGUUGUCCGGAAUUAUUGGGCGUAAAGGGCUUGUAGGUGGCUGGUUGCGUCUGUCGUGAAAGCUCAUGGCUUAACUGUGGGUUUGCGGUGGGUACGGGCUGGCUUGAGUGCAGUAGGGGAGGCUGGAAUUCCUGGUGUAGCGGUGGAAUGCGCAGAUAUCAGGAAGAAUACCGGUGGCGAAGGCGGGUCUCUGGGCUGUUACUGACGCUGAGGAGCGAAAGCGUGGGGAGCGAACAGG
rnacentral:rRNA from 1 species